UAUGUAUGUGUCUCCAGGGGCCUGUACCAUAAAGUCGGAUUAGCUGGCUAGCCAGGUAAGUUUCAGUUUAGUUUGCACCAAUUUUGGGUUUUAGGUA